UGCGCUGGUGAUCGCGCCGCUCAACCGGGAGCACGGGCUCGGGUACCUGAUCGCCGCCGUGAUCCUCGGCGGGGUGAUCCAGAUCGUGCUGGGGGCGCUGGGCGUGGCCCGGCUGAU
rnacentral:rRNA from 1 species